rnacentral:rRNA from 1 species
GACGAACGCUGGCGGCGUGCUUAACACAUGCAAGUCGAACGGAAAGGCCCUGCUUUUGUGGGGUGCUCGAGUGGCGAACGGGUGAGUAACACGUGAGUAACCUGCCCUUGACUUUGGGAUAACUUCAGGAAACUGGGGCUAAUACCGGAUAGGAGCUCCUGCUGCAUGGUGGGGGUUGGAAAGUUUCGGCGGUUGGGGAUGGACUCGCGGCUUAUCAGCUUGUUGGUGGGGUAGUGGCUUACCAAGGCUUUGACGGGUGGCCGGCCUGAGAGGGUGACCGGCCACAUUGGGACUGAGAUACGGCCCAGACUCCUACGGGAGGCAGCAGUGGGGAAUAUUGCACAAUGGGCGGAAGCCUGAUGCAGCAACGCCGCGUGCGGGAUGAAGGCCUUCGGGUUGUAAACCGCUUUCGCCUGUGACGAAGCGUGAGUGACGGUAAUGGGUAAAGAAGCACCGGCUAACUACGUG